rnacentral:rRNA from 1 species
GAUGAACGCUGGCGGCGUGCCUAAUACAUGCAAGUCGAGCGAACGGACGAGAAGCUUGCUUCUCUGAUGUUAGCGGCGGACGGGUGAGUAACACGUGGAUAACCUACCUAUAAGACUGGGAUAACUUCGGGAAACCGGAGCUAAUACCGGAUAAUAUUUUGAACCGCAUGGUUCAAAAGUGAAAGACGGUUUUGCUGUCACUUAUAGAUGGAUCCGCGCCGCAUUAGCUAGUUGGUAAGGUAACGGCUUACCAAGGCAACGAUGCAUAGCCGACCUGAGAGGGUGAUCGGCCACACUGGAACUGAGACACGGUCCAGACUCCUACGGGAGGCAGCAGUAGGGAAUCUUCCGCAAUGGGCGAAAGCCUGACGGAGCAACGCCGCGUGAGUGAUGAAGGUCUUCGGAUCGUAAAACUCUGUUAUUAGGGAAGAACAAAUGUGUAAGUAACUGUGCACAUCUUGACGGUACCUAAUCAGAAAGCCACGGCUAACUACGUG